GAGCAUGUGGUUUAAUUCGAAGCAACGCGAAGAACCUUACCAAAUCUUGACAUCCCACUGACAAAGUAUGUAAUGUACUCUUCCUUCGGGACAGUGGAGACAGGUGGUGCAUGGUUGUCGUCAGCUCGUGUCGUGAGAUGUUGGGUUAAGUCCCGCAACGAGCGCAACCCUUAUCUUUAGUAGCCAGCAUUUUGGAUGGGCACUCUAGAGAGACUGCCCGGGUGAACCGGGAGGAAGGUGGGGAUGACGUCAAAUCAUCAUGCCCCUUAUGAUUUGGGCUACACACGUGCUACAAUGGCGUAAACAAAGGGAAGCAAUUGGGUGACCAUGAGCAAAUCUCAAAAAUAACGUCUCAGUUCGGAUUGUAGUCUGCAACUCGACUACAUGAAGCUGGAAUCGCUAGUAAUCGCGAAUCAGAAUGUCGCGGUGAAUACGUUCCCGGGUCUUGUACACACCGCCCGUCACACCAUGGAAGUUGGGGGCGCCCAAAGUUGGCUAAUAAAUCUGCUACCUAAGGCGAAACCAAUGACUGGGGUG
rnacentral:rRNA from 1 species